AAUAUUGCACAAUGGAGGAAACUCUGAUGCAGCGACGCCGCGUGAACGACUAAGGCCUUCGGGUCGUAAAGUUCUGUCCUUGGGGACGAUAAUGUCGGUACCCACGGAGGAAGCCCCGGCUACCUACGUGCCCGCAGCCGCGGUAAUACGUAGGGGGCGAGCGUUGUCCGGAAUUAUUGGGCGUAAAGGGUUCGCAGGCGGUCUUUUAAGUCAGAUGUUAAAUGCAUAGGCUCAACCUAUGAGUUCAUUUGAAACUGGAAGACUUGAGUUAAGGAGAGGAAAGUGGAAUUCCUAGUGUAGAGGUGAAAUGCGUAGAUAUUAGGAGGAAUACCAGUGGCGAAGGCGACUUUCUGGACUUAAACUGACGCUGAGGAACGAAAGCAUGGGGAGCAAACA
rnacentral:rRNA from 1 species